UACAGAGGUCUCAAGCGUUGUUCGGAUUCAUUGGGCGUAAAGGGUGCGUAGGCGGCGCGGUAAGUCGGGUGUGAAAUCUUGGAGCUUAACUCCGAAACUGCAUUCGAUACUGCCGUGCUUGAGGACUGGAAAGGAGACUGGAAUUUACGGUGUAGCGGUGAAAUGCGUAGAUAUCGUAAGGAACAUCAGUGGCGAAAGCGACUUCCUGGACCAAUACUGACGCUCAUGUGCGAAAGCGUGGGGAGCAAACAGG
rnacentral:rRNA from 1 species